rnacentral:rRNA from 1 species
UUCGCAAUGCCCGAAAGGGUGACGAAGCGACGCCGCGUGUGGGAAGAAGGCCUUCGGGUUGUAAACCACUGUCGGGAGUUAAGAAAUGCAAGAAUGUUAAUAGCGUUUUUGCUUGACUAAGGCUCCGGAGGAAGCCACGGCUAACUCUGUGCCAGCAGCCGCGGUAAUACAGAGGCGGCAAGCGUUGUUCGGAAUUAUUGGGCGUAAAGAGCACGUAGGCGGCUAUAUAAGUCGGUUGUGAAAGCCUUCCGCUCAACGGGAGAACAGCAUCCGAUACUGUGUGGCUUGAGUGUGGGAGGGGAGAGCGGAACUUCUGGUGGAGCGGUGAAAUGCGUAGAUAUCAGAAGGAACGCCGGCGGCGAAAGCGGCUCUCUGGCCCAUAACUGACGCUGAGUGUGCGAAAGCUAGGGGAGCAAACGGGAUUAGAUACCCCGGUAGUCCUAGCCGAAAACGAUGGGCACUAAGUAGAGGGGUUUUA